rnacentral:pre_miRNA from 15 species
CAGAUGUGGCCCCGCCUGUCUCCUGCUGUGUUUGGCAAUGGUAGAACUCACACUGGUGAGAUAAUGGAAUCCGGUGGUUCUAGACUUGCCAACUACGGCUUGAGAGAGCAAUCGGCGGAACAGAU